rnacentral:rRNA from 1 species
AAACUAGAAAGGGCACACGGGGGAUACCUAGGUGCUAGUAGCCGAUGAAGGACGCGGAAGGCUGCGAUAAGUUGCGUGUAGCUGCCAACAAGCGAUGAUACGCAAGAUUCCGAAUGGGGAAACCUGUUACACUGGAGGUGUAACAUCUAUACAUGAAUAAAUAGUGUAUAGAGGGUAAGCAAGCGAACUGAAACAUCUUAGUAGCUUGAGAAAAGAAAGUAAAAACGAUUUCCUUAGUAGUGGCGAGCGAAAAGGAAAUAGCCUAAACUAAUAUUACGCGAUAUCCUACAGGAGUUGUAAUAUUAGGGUAGAGGGGACUUACAGCUAUGGCUGUAGACAUAGCAUAGAGUAAAAAAAUACUAAGCUAGGAGAAGAUAGCUGGAAAGCUACACCAUAGAGAGUGAUAGUCUCGUAUCUUAAAGCGAAGUAUCUCUAGUAAGUUACCCGAGUAGCCCGGGACACGUGAAAUCUUGGGUGAAUCAGCGAGGACCAUCUCGUAAGGCUAAACACUACUAGCGACCGAUAGUGAACAAGUACCGUGAGGGAAAGGUGAAAAGAACCCCGGGAGGGGAGUGAAAUAGAACAUGAAUCCGUGUGUCUACAAGCAGUUGGAGUACUAUAGAUAGUACGACAGCGUGCCUGUUGAAGAAUGAGCCGGCGAGUUGUCAUAUGUAGCGAGGUUAAGCAGUUAAAAUGCGGAGCCGAAGGGAAACCGAGUUUGAAAAGAGCGAAAAAGUUACAUAUGGCAGACCCGAACCCAGGUGACCUAUCCAUGUCCAGGAUGAAGCGUAGGUAAAACUAUGUGGAGGUCCGAACCCACUAAUGUUGAAAAAUUAGGGGAUGAGGUGUGGAUAGAGGAGAAAUUCCAAUCGAACUUGGAGCUAGCUGGUUCUCUCCGAAAUGGUUUUAGGGCCAGCCUCAAGAUUUAAGUAGUUGGGGUAGAGCACUAGAAUGAUGCGGGGGAAGAGAGUUCCUACCAAAUCAUAUUAAACUCCGAAUACGGCUACGUAUAUCUUGGGAGUGAGACUAUGUGAGCUAAGUUUCAUAGUCAAGAGGGGAAGAGCCCAGAUCAUCAGCUAAGGUUCCCAAGUACUAGUUAAGUGAUAAAGGAGGUGUAGUCACAGAGACAACCAGGAAGUUGGCUUAGAAGCAGCCAUCCUUGAAAGAGUGCGUAAUAGCUCACUGGUCAAGUGAUUAUGCGCCGAAAAUAAAUGGAGCUAAAACUAGUCACCGAAGCUAUGGGAUUACGAGAGUAAUCGGUAGGAGAGCGUUGUGCUGUAGGCAGAAGUAUGACUGUAAGGACAUAUGGACGAGGCACAAGUGAGAAUGUCGGCAUAAGUAGCGAAAAUAUUAGUGAGAAUCUAAUACACCGGAAGUCUAAGGUUUCCCACGGAAGGUUCGUCCGCGUGGGGUUAGUCGGGGACUAAGGCGAGGCCGAGAGGCGUAGUCGAUGUACAACAGGUUGAUAUUCCUGUACUACUAAUUAGCGAUAAAGACAUUAAGGAGUGACGCAAGAAGCUAGGUCAGCUAGAGAAUGGAUAACUAGUUCAAGCAUGAAGGUAGGCUAUGUAGGCAAAUCCGCAUAGCUAAUACUGAGGUGUUAAGACGAGGUGCUACGGCACUGAAGUGACCGAUGCUAAAUUGCCAGGAAAAGCUUCGUAAUGAGCUAAUUAGUACCCGUACCGCAAACCGACACAGGUAGACAGGUAGAGAAUACCAAGGUGAGCGAGCUAACUCUCGUUAAGGAACUCGGCAAAAUGACCUCGUAACUUCGGGAGAAGAGGUGCAAGAGUAGUGUGAAGGAAGAGACGUCUGGAGCACGAAAUUGUUGCAGCGGAGAGUCCCAGGCAACUGUUUAACAAAAACACAGGUCUCUGCUAAAUCGAAAGAUUAAGUAUAGGGGCUGACGCCUGCCCAGUGCCGGAAGGUUAACAGGAGAGGUUAUCCGAAAGGAGAAGCCUCGAAUCGAAGCCCCGGUGAACGGCGGCCGUAACUAUAACGGUCCUAAGGUAGCGAAAUUCCUUGUCAGGUAAGUUCUGACCCGCACGAAAGGCGUAAUGAUCUGGGAGCUGUCUCGACGAGAGGCUCGGCGAAAUUGGAUUAGCUGUGAAGAUACGGCUUACUCAUACCAGGACAGAAAGACCCCAUGGAGCUUUACUGUAGCUUGACAUUGAGUUUGGGUUUUGCAUGUGCAGGAUAGGUGGGAGACUGAGAGUCUACGGUGUUAGCUGUAGAGGAGUCGUCGGUGAGAUACCACUCUUGCAAGAUCUAGAUUCUAACCAUCAUCUAUUAGCUAGAGAUGGGACAGUGUCUGGUAGGCAGUUUGACUGGGGCGGUCGCCUCCUAAAGAGUAACGGAGGCGUCCAAAGGUUCCCUCAGGCUGUAUGGAAAUCAGCCGUAAGAGUGCAAAGGCAUAAGGGAGCUUAACUGUGAGACAGACAAGUCGAGCAGGUACGAAAGUAGGGCUUAGUGAUCCGACGGUACAGAAUGGAAAGGCCGUCGCUCAACGGAUAAAAGUUACCCUGGGGAUAACAGGCUGAUCUCCCCCAAGAGUUCACAUCGACGGGGAGGUUUGGCACCUCGAUGUCGGCUCGUCGCAACCUGGGGCGGUAGUACGUCCCAAGGGUUAGGCUGUUCGCCUAUUAAAGCGGUACGUGAGCUGGGUUCAGAACGUCGUGAGACAGUUCGGUCCAUAUCCGGUAUGAGCGUAAGAGAAUUGAGAGGAGCCGUCCUUAGUACGAGAGGACCGGGACGGACUAACCGCUGGUGUACGAGUGGUAUCGCCAGAUGCCAAUGCUCGGUAGCUAAGUUAGGAGUGAAUAAGUGCUGAAAGCAUAUAAGUACGAAGUCCACCUCAAGAUGAGUUCUCUUGCUGAGAUAAUCAGGUAAGGACCCCUGAAGAUAACAGGGUUGAUAGGCUACAUGUGUAAGAGUGGUGACACUUUUAGCAGAGUAGUACUAAUAGUCCGAGGGUUU